GGCGACGUGGCCAAGUGGUAAGGCAGGGGCCUGCAAAGCCCUUAUCCCCGGUUCGAUUCCGGGCGUCGCCUCCA
rnacentral:tRNA from 4 species